UAUGGGGGGAGCAAGCGUUGUUCGGAUUUACUGGGCGUAAAGGGCGCGUAGGCGGUCAGCACAAGUCAGUUGUGAAAUCUCCGGGCUUAACUCGGAAAGGUCAACUGAUACUGUGCGACUAGAGUGCGGAAGGGGCAACUGGAAUUCUCGGUGUAGCGGUGAAAUGCGUAGAUAUCGAGAGGAACACCUGCGGCGAAGGCGGGUUGCUGGGCCGACACUGACGCUGAUGCGCGAAAGCCAGGGGAGCGAACGGG
rnacentral:rRNA from 1 species